GCAAGUCGAGGGGAAACGGCAUUGAGUGCUUGCACUCUUUGGACGUCGACCGGCGCACGGGUGAGUAACGCGUAUCCAACCUUCCCCAUUACUGUGGGAUAACCUGCCGAAAGGCAGACUAAUACCGCAUAGUCUUCGAUGACGGCAUCAGAUUUGAAGUAAAGAUUUAUCGGUAAUGGAUGGGGAUGCGUCUGAUUAGCUUGUUGGCGGGGUAACGGCCCACCAAGGCAACGAUCAGUAGGGGUUCUGAGAGGAAGGUCCCCCACAUUGGAACUGAGACACGGUCCAAACUCCUACGGGAGGCAGCAGUGAGGAAUAUUGGUCAAUGGACGGAAGUCUGAACCAGCCAAGUAGCGUGCAGGAUGACGGCCCUAUGGGUUGUAAACUGCUUUUGUAUGGGGAUAAAGUUAGGGACGUGUCCCUAUUUGCAGGUACCAUACGAAUAAGGACCGGCUAAUUCCGUGCCAGCAGCCGCGGUAAUACGGAAGGUCCAGGCGUUAUCCGGAUUUAUUGGGUUUAAAGGGAGCGUAGGCUGGAGAUUAAGUGUGUUGUGAAAUGUAGACGCUCAACGUCUGAAUUGCAGCGCAUACUGGUUUCCUUGAGUACGCACAACGUUGGCGGAAUUCGUCGUGUAGCGGUGAAAUGCUUAGAUAUGACGAAGAACUCCGAUUGCGAAGGCAGCUGACGGGAGCGCAACUGACGCUUAAGCUCGAAGGUGCGGGUAUCAAACAGGAUUAGAUACCCUGGUAGUCCGCACAGUAAACGAUGGAUGCCCGCUGUUGGUACCUGGUAUCAGCGGCUAAGCGAAAGCAUUAAGCAUCCCACCUGGGGAGUACGCCGGCAGCGGUGAAACUCAAAGGAAUUGACGGC
rnacentral:rRNA from 1 species